CCUAUCAGUUAGUUGGUGAGGUAAUGGCUCACCAAGGCGUCGACGGGUAGCCGCCCUGAGAGGGUGACCGGCCACAUUGGGAUUGAGACACGGCCCAGACUCUUACGGGAGGCAGCAGUGGGGAAUAUUGCACAAUGGGCGCAAGCCUGAUGCAGCAACGCCGCGUGAGGGACGACGGCCUUCGGGUUGUAAACUUCUUUUAGCAGGGAAGAAGCGAAAGUGACGGUACCUGCAGAAAAAGCGCCGGCUAAUUACGUGCCAGCAGCCGCGGUAAUACGUAGGGCGCAAGCGUUAUCCGGAAUUAUUGGGCGUAAAGAGCUCGUAGGCGGUUUGUCGCGUCUGCUGUGAAAACUGGAGGCUCAACCUCCAGCCUGCAGUGGGUACGGGCAGACUAGAGUGCGGUAGGGGAGAUUGGAAUUCCUGGUGUAGCGGUGGAAUGCGCAGAUAUCAGGAGGAACACCGAUGGCGAAGGCAGAUCUCUGGGCCGUAACUGACGCUGAGGAGCGAAAGGGUGGGGAGCAAACAGGCUUAGAUACCCUGGUAGUCCACCCCGUAAACGUUGGGAACUAGUUGUGGGGUCCAUUCCACGGAUUCCGUGACGCAGCUAACGCAUUAAGUUCCCCGCCUGGGGAGUACGGCCGCAAGGCUAAAACUCAAAGGAAUUGACGGGGACCCGCACAAGCGGCGGAGCAUGCGGAUUAAUUCGAUGCAACGCGAAGAACCUUACCAAGGCUUGACAUAUACGAGAACGGGCCAGAAAUGGUCAACUCUUUGGACACUCGUAAACAGGUGGUGCAU
rnacentral:rRNA from 1 species